rnacentral:rRNA from 1 species
AGUGAACGCUGGCGGUAGGCCUAACACAUGCAAGUCGAACGGCAGCACAGUAAGAGCUUGCUCUUACGGGUGGCGAGUGGCGGACGGGUGAGGAAUACAUCGGAAUCUACUUUUUCGUGGGGGAUAACGUAGGGAAACUUACGCUAAUACCGCAUACGACCUACGGGUGAAAGCAGGGGAUCUUCGGACCUUGCGCGAUUGAAUGAGCCGAUGUCGGAUUAGCUAGUUGGCGGGGUAAAGGCCCACCAAGGCGACGAUCCGUAGCUGGUCUGAGAGGAUGAACAGGCCACACGGAAACUGAGACAGGGCCCAACUCCCUACGGAAGGCACCGGUGGGAAAAAUUGGCAAAGGGGGGCAGGCCUGUCCCAGCCAUCCCGGGUGGGUAAAGAAGGCCUUCGGGUUGUAAAGCCUUUUGUUGGGAAAGAAAAGCAGCAGGUUAAUACCCCGCUGUUCUGACGGUACCCAAAGAAUAAGCACCGGCUAACUUCGUG